AUAAGGGGUUGAAGUAUGAGCUGCACUGCUACUACAAGAAUUGUGCAUCUCCUAAUGUAGCUUUUACUGAUCCACUUGUAGAAUUUCGGGAGAGGAUACGUGAGUGGCAAUGGAUGUGCACUCAGUUUCAAGUGAAAAAUUUAAGAAAAAAUCAGCGACAAAUAAAGGCAAUUGGGAAAAGAAGUCAUACCUUCAUUAUUUUAGUUCUCGACUCUUAUCUUACCGCGAUGAGGAAUAGCGGAUGAGUGGUUUGCAUUUCCUGGAAGUGGAGGUUUGGGGGAGACGCCUUCCAAUUUUGGUAACCAGGUUGCAGACGACAUUUUUCAACAUACAUGCCUAUGGAGGAGCUGACACCUGAUCAAGGUGUAUCUACAGUUGUUGAUGGACGAGUUUGGGCGAUGGAAAGGCAAGAAACUCAGCUGCCUAGGAGGGGGUCAGGUUCAGGACAUCAGUGGGUUUUUUUGUUCAGCAAGCUCUCAUCCUUCGAUCGAAUCAUCUUCUAGACUGUAGCAGGUGGAGGUGGAACUAGCACGCUAAAGAGAAUAAGAUGCAGGUAGCACGACAAAGAGAAGAAGCGGGGCGCGAUUGGGAGAAAAAGCUGCUCGUGAGCAAGAAACUGCUACGCGUGACUGAGAAUCAGUGAGCCUUUACAUUGCUGGGAUAGCCUAAUCCUUGUCUGCUUCUAGCAUUUGCAUUCUUGAAUCCCCGAGCGACCUUUAGGCGCCAUUCCCCUAGCCACCUCAGCACCCACGUACCCACGUUGCUUAGGUUUAUUAUUUUAGUUUUUGUAACAUAAUUGUACGAAGAAUUUUAUUUUGAAUGUAAUUAAAUAAAUUUAAAAAUUGUCAU